rnacentral:lncRNA from 1 species
GCAAAUAACACUGAAUCCAAACUAAAAUGAAUCAGAGAUAUAUAAUUAAAAUGAAUUAAAUACAAAUAAUUUUAUUUUGAUUCAACGGCAUUUCUUGACGAGAAGGCUGUGAGAGAGGAGGAAAAGACCGACACGGAUAAUGGGGUGAGGUUUUGGGUUCUCUUCCGCCACGGAUAGGAGCGAUCGGUCUCGAGGUUUUUCUGUUCUGUUUUUCGAAGUUGAUCCACAAUGAUCAGUUUUGAAGAAUGACGUCGUAAAAG